rnacentral:sRNA from 1 species
AAAAAGAAAAGAAAACAAAAACAAAAAAACACAAGAAAAUAAAUUGCUUUGAGUCUUAGAAGAGGCUUGACUUUGGGCUUUAGAACGAAGUAGAGACUGAAAGACUGAGGGGACUUUUGAAAUUGAACCAAAUGCUUUUGUAUUAUGAUAUGGCCAUGGGCCUGUAGGGGUCAGGGAGUGGAAUGUGGUGACUUUCCUGAGAAUGGUCUCAUAUGUUUGAAUACUUGGCUCCUAGUUUUCUUAUCAGUGCCCAGCUCAAACACACAAACUCUUGGGAAACAUGCUCAGAGCACAUCCAAGCUAUAACAUGCAUAUUGUCUGGGCCUACUUCAUAUUAAUUCAGGACAUAUAUUGGCACCAAAAGGUAAAAAUACAUUUGCAUCUCAAAUAUGACAGUUAUUUUGGUUGUUGAUAUCUGGAUGAUAGUAAAAUGAAAAGUAUUCUAAUAACAUACUGUGCUGUCUGGUUUUAUGUCAACUUGACACAAACUAGAGUCAUUUUUUAAAAGAAGGAAAUUCAUUUGAGAAAAUGUCGCCACGAGAUUAGACUAUGGUACAUUUUUCUUGAUGAAUGGCUCAGCUCACUGUGGGAGGUGCUAUCCCUGGGCUGAUGGUCCUGGGUUCUGUUUAGAAGGCAGGCUGAGAAAGUGACGAGGAACAUUCAGGAAAGCAGUCCUCCUGGCCCCUGCAUCAGCUCCUGCCUCCAGGUUCCUGCUGUGCUUGGACAGUGAUGUGUAGGUACAAGUGAAAUAAAGUCUUCCCUCCCCAAGUUGCUUACGGUCAUGGUGUUUUAGUCACAGUAAUAGAAACUCUAACUAAGACACACACUUAUUUUUAUGGCGUGUCGGCUUGAGCUAAUUACCCACACACACCUAGCUGUCAGACACACUAUUUCUGCAGUUGCCAUCUGUUGCCUCCACGUGUGAGUUGUCACAUUCCGUAUGUGAUGUGACUCACGGUCCUCAGAGAAGACUGCAUUUUGUUUCUCUGUCAGUGACACCCGUCCCUGUCUUCCAGGAAUAUAUGCAGACUGGCAAAGGCUCCAACCCUUGUCCCACCUAGACCCAGGCUCUGUUAUCCCCUGGGUCAUAACCUUGGCUGCCUAGCAUUAAUAAUAAUUAAUAAUAGUUGAGUAAAUGCUGGGCUCGACUGGCUUUAGGCCUUUGUCCUUUUCUCUUUCACUCUUGCUCUCUCACACACAAAUGAAUGCUUCCCAAAAGUUUUACUUUUUUUUCCUAUGUGUUAUAUGAACUUAAUAACAUAAAUAUAUGCAAAACUCCAAGUGCUUAUAAGAAGAAAAAACAUAUUGUAAAACAUCUUAAACGACACACAUUUUAUAAUCACAAGGGUAAUUGUGUUAGCUAGUAUCAAUGUCAACCUGACACAAGCUAGAGUUAUCUGAAAUGAGGGAACCUCAACUGAGAAAAUGCCUCCAUAGGAGCCAGCAGUAAGGUAUUUCAUUAAUUAGUGAUUGUUCGGGGAGGGCCCUGCCCAUUGUGGGUGGUGCCAUUCUGGGCUGGUGGUCCUUGAUCCGAUAAGAAAGCAGGCUGAGCAAGCCAGGUGAAACAAGGCAGUAAGUAGCACUCUUCAUGGCUUCUGCAUCAGCUCCCGUUCCCAGGUUCCUGCCCUGUUCAAGUUCCUGUCCUGGCUUCCUUCCAUGAUGGACUACAAUGUAGAGUGUAAGCUCAAUAAACUGUUUCUUCCCCAACUUGCUGUUUGGUCAUGGUGUUUUGUUGCUGCAAUAGAAACCUUAAGACAAGUUAGUACCAGGGUAAUUAGGCAUUGCUGGGACAGACCUGGCCAUGUUUUUGUGAGGAUUGUGGAAGGACUUUUGAACUUUGGGCUAGAAAAGUCAAUGAGUUUUAAAAGCAGUACAGAUGAUGGAGGCCUGGCUUGUGAAAUUUCAGAGGGAAGCAAUGACCCUACCAGGCUUUUUGUGUGAAGAAUCUGGGGUUCUGGUCAGCUGGGGCUGAAGAGUUGGCUGUGAUUAACAAGAUACCGGAACUAUUAAAAUGAAACCUCUGCUUUGCUGGAAUGCUCAAUGCUGAUUGCCUGGAGCUGAGAAAUUAGUGGUGAUUAAGAAGAGAUCAUCAUUGAGAUGAAUCUUCUGUGAAGUGUUUCUGAGAGCACACAGAAGCUGUGACCCAGAAGUGGCUGUACUGGCUGGUGUUACAUGUGAACUUGACACAAGCUUGAGUCAUCAGAGAAGAAGGAGCCUCAAUUAAGGUAAUGCCUCCAUAAGACCCAGCUGUAAUGGCCAGCUGUAAGGCAUUUUCUCAACUAGUGAUCAAUGAAGGAGGACCCAGACCAUUAUGGGUGGUGUCGUCCCUGCACUGGUAGUCCUUGGCUCUGUAAGAAAACAGUCUGAGCAAAUCAGGGGAAGCAAGCCAGUAAGCAGCACUCUUUCAUGGCUUCUGCAUCAGCUCCUGCCUCCAGGAUUCUGCCGUUUGUUGAAUUCCUGUCUUGACUCCCUUCAAUGGUGAACAGCAGUAUGGUACUGUAAACUGAAUAAACUCUUUCCUCUCCCACUUGCUUUUUGGUCAUGGUGUUUUGACCAUAACGAAGACAGCAACCAAGGUUAUACCUCAAGCUGGCAGCUGAACUUGAUAAUGUAAGAAUCACCCAGGUGGUACUGGUUUGGAAGGCAUAAAGGGGUCAUGAAGAACGGCCAAGUCUUGGCACUGUGAGAGGCCAGGAAAGGCCAUUGGUGAAGGUGCCACUUCAGUGGAGGUUGGGAGCCCAGGACGGAAGGAGGUCAUGCAAAGGAGUUGAGGUCUGGCACGGUAAAGAGAGCCUAGGAGAAGCUAUUGGUGAGGGUGCAGCCCAGUUGCAGCAGAAGACCCCAGCAUUCUGGAGAUGCUGGUACCAUGGUAUUAUAACCACAAACAGCAGUGGAAUGGAGUCAACCAGAGCCUAGAAGACAAGCUGUGUGUGCAGCAGAAGGCAGAGCUGCAGAAGUGACCCAAGUCCUUUGAAGGAGCCUAGAAGAUUAACUUCAAUUACCAACUGACAAUCCAAGCCAAGUCCAUACCAAAGACAAGACUAAGUACUGUCUCAGAUGCCAGAGAAACUGCUGUGGGCUGGCAGACUCAGCUCUUAUGCACAGGGGGCACCAGAAGAGUUCCACAUGCCCCAGACCUCCAGCCCCCAACUUCAAAUAUCAGAGAGGACUGAGAAGAAGUGGCCACCUCUGGAGUCCCGCAUCCUUUCUCUCUCCCACUCUCAAGGUUUGGUUGCAAGAAAGCAGGUGACGGGCUCUUCUGUCCUCCCAGUCUACUCUGCAACGGACCUGGCUCUUUGGCUGUUGCUCCUCUCUCCAUCGGCUCGUCAG